UUGGAAUGAUGGUGACGUAAAAUCUCACCAGAGUAACAAUUGGAGGGCAAGUCUGGUGCCAGCAGCCGCGGUAAUUCCAGCUCCAAUAGCGUAUAUUAAACUUGUUGCAGUUAAAAAGCUCGUAGUUGAAUUUCUGCGUUGCCCGACUCGGCUACUUGCCUUGUCUGGUUUCGCUUUUGGGGUUUUCCCCUUUUUACUUUGAGAAAAUUAGAGUGUUUCAAGCAGACUUGUGUCUUGAAUACUUCAGCAUGGAAUAAUAAAGUAGGACAUUUGGUUCUAUUUUGUUGGUUUGUGAACC
rnacentral:rRNA from 1 species